rnacentral:lncRNA from 1 species
AGGAAGCUUAUUAGAGUUUUGCGAUCCGCCACGCAGUACAGAGUGAACUGCAUCUGCUUUACCAGAACCAGUCACCACAAGUGCAGCAUAAGCAGAGGAAUUGAUCACCGGAAAGGUAAAAGUUAUUCUCUCUGGUGGUGGUUUUGGCGAGUCCUUGAUGAAGGCAACCCAUCUUUUAUUCUCCUCCACAAGAGGAUGCCCUGGGAACAAAGAAGCAACGUGCCCAUCAGGGCCCAUGCCCAGCAGCAUGAGAUCAAAUUUCGGAAAUCCGCUGACUGAUGAAGUUAUCACAUUGCUCUUGACCAAGUGUCUGAGACAUGUCUCAUAAUCAUCAGCUGCUCCCUCAGCUGACAGGGCAUCAUUAAUUGCAUAAACAUUACCGGGUGGAAUCGGAACCUGUCAAAGAACCGUGAUGAAAGUGCCAACAUGUUAGAUUGAGAUAAAAUCAUCUCAUCCAAACAGAAGACUAGGGAGGUACACUUGUCAUCCAAUCAUUAAAAAGAAGACUCAGACAUGAAUGAAAUAUAGCAUAUAACUUGAAACCGAUAGCGAUUCUUUUUUUUUUCAUGUGGCAUCAAUUUAUAGGAAUGAACAAUACAUUUAACAAGCUUCUCAACGUAAUACCAUCCUAUCCAACAAGGGGACUCAUUUGCCUGACCAUUGUUACAGUGUAGACUAGAAGUCUCUGAAAUGUUUGUACUUGUGCAUUCACUUCACCACUUAAAAUACGUUUUAUAUGUAUUUUAGUUUCCAAGGAUAUCAUGACAUCCUUCAGGUUUGGUACUAAUCACUUCAAAUAUGGAAAUAUAAGGAUAGACCACCCCAACAAGUGGAGUAACCGAUGCUCCAACCCUUGUCCUUGGAAGGGAUAUCACUGCCCCCAACAUCUUGCAGUUAGCCUGAAUGAAAACAUGCCCAUAUACCACAAUAUUGAUGUCUUUUUAGUCAAUUGUUCCUAACAUAUACUUUUUCUUAAGCAAUUGUAGUUCUGCUGUAAGUUGUAGAUUUUUAAUUAAGUUUUAUGCUAAUUUCAUGAAAUUUAAGGUUGGUAGUCCAUAUUCUGACUUAAAUUUCAUUGAAGAGGCAAUAUAAUUGAUGAAAGGAGCGAGGAAGGCAGUGAAGCUAGUUUGAUAAUAAGAAACAAGCAAAUUUUCUCCGAGUCUUUGUAUACCCAGUGCUUGAGCAUUAAGAAUCCAAUGCUAUAUCAAUGGCCGAAAAAAUUGAGUUUUGCUUUGCAGUGCUUAAGGGCCAUCAGUAAAAUCUCACUUAAUGGAAUUGUAGCUUUAAAUAGAAGAAGGAAAGGAUCUGAAAGUACACUUUGCCGUUUGCAUACAUAAGGCAAUUGAAGUACACCUUCUGGGCGACCAACCAACAUCUCUUCCCUCCUUCAUCAGUGAUCCACUCUUCUCCAUCAACCAACAUCUCUUCCUUCAUUCAUCAAUGGUGUUCCUCUCUUAAUCUUUUUUUGCUUUGCAUUAGUUUACAACUAAAUUCCCAGUUAGUGUUGUAGUUCACUUUGGAUUAUGUAAAGAAUGCUCGACUUUCCAAUCUAAUCUCCUUUUCCCAAGAUUUGAGGACUGUUUGCACUUUGCUUAAUUAAUGCUUCUUUGGUGUAUCUAGCCAAGGAUUGAAAAUGGGUUUACAAAUGAAUAGAAAAAUUCUGCCAUGAGCUAGAUCUAAGGUUUACUACUAUUAAUAUGUUAAGGAAUUGAUUUAGUAAUUUGAUGUGCUUUUGCUGAAACCCUAUUGUUUUGAAUUUUGAUCAUUCCUUUGUUCUCAUCAAAAGUUACUAAGGAAUUAGGGACUUCAUUUGAUUAAUAGAUGAUUAACUAACCAAGGAACUCGUAGUUAAUUCAUAUAGAGGAUUUAACCUUUAAAUCUGGUAUUAGACAUUUGAAUGGAAUUUAGCUAGGUUCUGUAUGAAGGAUCAGAUGCAAUCAGUACCCUAACAACUUUCUCAUGAACUACUAGUAUUAAUUGCUCCGUUUUAUUUUCAGUAUAACUAAAUAUACCAUUUUCUAAUUGAGCUAUAGUUGUUUUUUUCAUUUGAUCUACAUUUAGUUCCAUCUAUCUGGUUUUAAUUUAGUGAAAUAGGGACUGGUGGCUUUCAUCCACGCGAUAACAAUACUCAUCCUUUCUCUUUAAACAUGUCAAACAAUACCCAUCUUACACACAUAAUGAACAGAAAUCUAGUGGCUGUUUUUGCACAAUCCUCCUAUAAAUUUCUCAACUUCUGACAACAACACAUAAUGAACAGAAAAUAAAUUUUCAACAAUUGGAAGACAAUGUUCAAGCAAAAUAAACAAUUAUAUGAUCCAACACCAAAAACAAAAGUCAUGGACAACAAAACAUAACAUACACACCUUGGAGAGAAACCCAUCAAAAGCAAGCUUGUAGUUACUAUCUUCAUGAGUCUUAGGCACAACCCUCUCAUCCAACCAAAACACAUGCCAUUUAGACCAUUCAAGAGAAUCAACAUAAGGAGCCUCAAGCAAUUUCCUGAAAACCCAACAACAAAAAACCCAUUUUUUUCAGCUCAAUUGAUCAUCAUCAUCAUCAUCAUCAUCAUUAUUCAGUUUCAACAACAAAAAAGGAACCUUCAUAUGAAACUCACCGGAGAUAGCUGAUCAAAGACCCACCAGACAAACAAACAGUGAAAGCCCCUCUUUCAGCAGUGAACUUAUUGGAAAGAUCGGCGACGUAUUUGGCCAGAGACGCCGCGAGCUCCUCCUUCUCGAAAACCUCAACCGCUGCCGCCAUUGAAGCUUUCUGAGCUUGGCAAACGAGCUUGUUGAUGCUGGGUUUGGAAGUGAGGCCUAUGAAUCUGAAGGGGUGAGGGGUGGAGAAUCGAGAGGAGGGUGGAUUCAGGGUUGGGAUUGACAGGGACGGUGGUGCGAAUUGGAUUCGCGGAGUGCUGGAGAGCAACAAGGAAGAGUGAGUGUGAGCCAUGAUGACCCACAGGGUUGUUGUACAAAUGGGAAUACUACUACAUCGAUUUUAUGAAAGGAAAGCAAGCAUUAGAGUUGAAUCAAUGUGGUAAAGAUGAAUGUCUACCUAUACAGCUUUCUUCCUAUUGCUCUUCGCGUGCAACUAGCUCUAUUUUUCUAUUCCCUACUCUAAAAACAACAAUCCUCUAAAUCCAUUCACCUAGAUAAACCGAAGGAGAAAACGCUGAAAAUUAGGGAAUCCAUGCCCAUACCUAAUUUACAUUUUCCCCAAACAGAUUUCACCAAUACAGUCAAUCCAAACUUGAAGAAGGAACAAAAUGCAAGCAUCAAAACCUAAAACUAAUAAACACCAUUUUCAAUCCUUAUAUUCCAUCAACAUUCUUAAUACACAAAAAGAAAAUUAAAAAUCGAUCAAAACAGAAUUUGCAGAGAAAUUGAAACCCUUAUCAAAAUUGAACCCCAAUUCAGCGCUUGAAAACCUAAUUCGAAGAAACGAAUGAUGAAAUAGGUUAGAGGAAGAGGGAAAACCUUGGUGUCCAGAAGCAGCAGAGAUUCAGAGAGAGGUUGGUGUGGCGUCGCGCGUGAGAGGAAGAGAGGAACGCUGCAGAGAUCGAAACGACAGCGUUUUGGGUUGAUGAUCAAGGGAGAGAAUAAGGAAGAAGAAAUGCACUGUGCAAUAACACAAGUUUAUAUAGGAAGGGAAAAUUCCACAGAGAAUCAAUGUUCAUUUCCAAUAAUAAAUUAAGGUUAUGGAAUAAUUCUAGCAUUAUGUGCACUAAAUCAAAAAAGUUGAGAUUCAUUAUAUAUGUUUAAGUUUAAGUUAUUUUAAACUUAUUUUCAUAAGUUGUUUAGAUUAUCUUAUGAAUAAGAGUUGAAGAGUUUAUGCUUAGUUAUAACUUAUUUUUAACUGAUUUCAAUAACUUUAUCAAAUUAAUUUAUAAAUAAACAUUUAUGCGAUACACGCUUAUUUUUAUAAGUGCUUAAUUAAGUUGUUUAGUCUUGCUUAUCAAAAAAAAAGUUGUUUAGUCUUAUGUUCACUUGCAUCUUGUUUUGAAAUUAGACUUACAGCUUAUUCAUGUUACAUAAAAGGAAGAAAUGAUCAAGUCAAAACAUGUUGGAAUUUGGAUUCUAAACCUAAUUGUCUUUUUAGCAUAGUGAACAUCAUUAAUAACAAUUUUUUUUUUCUUUUUUAUAGUAAGGAGAAUAUGACCCUUACCCUAAAUCCUCAUAAGGUUUGGGCCUUAACAAAUGCUGCCCAAGCCUAUAUGAACCACUACAAGUAAGACGUUGUAGCUCGUCCAAUGAGGACACUACAUGUUGCAUGAAGAAAUCUCUAGUUGGAUGAGGAAGACGUCGGUGGGUGGUCGCUCACAUGAUGAAGUAAUCUCUAAAUGCUCCUAAGCUUCACACGAUCGCGCCAAGCCUUUCAACGGAUCCUCCACCCGCCAGGGCCUAAUAGAGGCAACCAAAAGAAGAUAAUGCCCUACUUUGCACAUAAUUUGGGAAACCUCUUAGGUCUUAGCCUUGUCACCCAUGACCAGUCCAAAAAAACAUAAAACACCAAAUCUAAAGCAUAAAGGCCAAAUGUGUCUUCUCCAAUCUCUUGCCAUGAUACGUUUUGCUCGCCUUCCUAAAGUAGCAACGUGAAGUGUAUUUAGUGCAGUAUUUCAAUGGACCGCUCUAACCAUCUAACCUCAUAUUUACAGAUAAGAAUACUUAAGAACAUAGGAAAUAAGAAAUGAAAGAGAAAUAAGUCUAACUCUCAUUUGGUUAAUAGAAGAUUAAGGAAAACCAAAUUUUCACCAAAAAUAAUAAGAAAGAAAUGAAUCAUUUGUCAUUGUUACCCUUAUUCUCUUCCUAAACAUUAAAUCUAGAGGCUAAAGUCGACUCCUUAUCCAAAUUUAAUUAAUUUCUCUAUUUGUUUAAAGAAGCAAAGAGAAAUUUUGAUAUCUUUUGUUUUCUUAUUUGUACCUAUCUAAACAAUUUAUAAUCUUUAUCUAAUCCUUCUCUUGCAACUCAUUUCUUUCUUUCAGUUUCUUCACUUCCUAUCUCUUUUGAUAUUCGAAUAUAGUGUUAAAGUACAUACAUAUUUGAUCCCGGUUUUAAAACGAGCAGUUUAGAGUAUUUUACAGGUUUGAAAAUAAUGUGGGUGUGUUGAAAUCUUGGAGAUCUUUCUCUGCUUUUUCAUUCAUAAUAGUGCCUGCAAGGAUAACGAAUUUAACUUCAACCUUUGAUUAGCAUCAGCUAUUCAUUAUAUGAUUAAAACUACUAGCCAACCAAUUACACAGUUUUCAUUAACUUCUUCAGUGUCUAUGAACAGUGAGCCUUGCAAACUCAAAAAAAACUACAGAAACACAAGAUCAAAGUGUGUGUUUGGAUAAAUGUUCUCAGAAUUGAUUUUAGAUACAUUUGAUUUUGAUAAAAUUGAUUAUAAUAAAAGUGAGUUAAGACAAGUUGAUGGCGGUGGAAUCGUCGGCAAUAUUAUUAGAAACUAAUGCAGGAUUAGAAACUUGUAUGUACUUUGUAUGGAAAAGAAAGGUUUGCAGAAACCAAUGCCAUCUAAAACCACAAAAGACACAUAAAACGUCGUGUGAAAAUAUUAGUGUGAAAUCGAGGCAAAUAGUGCAUUGUAUGCAUCCCCAAACUUGCGCUGCCCAUGUGCUCAUAGGACCUUUUCUUGCUUAUUUUACAAGAAGCUGCAAUUUGUUGUGUGUGGUAACAGAAAUGUAGAAACUACAUUGUGAUAUUAUUGAUACUGUGAACAAGAUACAAUGCUGCCUAAUAUAGUUGCAGCUUGGAUACAAAGUGAAUGAACCUAGACAAUCUAAUGUAUCUAAUUCCUAACUAACUUCAACAAGUAUAACAGAAGUAUAACUAACAAAACUACUACUACUAAGCUUGACUCUUACUCACUAAGCUUGAGUCAAGCGGAGGUGUUUUUAUCUCUAACACCCCCCCUCAAGCUGGAAUGUACAGCAUACAUUCCAAGCUUGGACAAGAGAAAAUUUGUAGCUGGAAGGUGGUGUCCUUGGAUGCUCUCAAUUGCUUACUACAGCAUGCUCAAGAACAUCGUACACAAUCCAGCUCUAGCUGUGCAGUACAGAGGUCCUGCUCAAAGUGGUUCACCCAUUUCAAUUCUAACGGUCUCCAGGACAAUGUUCCCAUAUCAUGAAAUUUGCCAAGAAAAUCUUGGAAGAUGUUGGAAUGGCUGCACAAGAGGAAGAACAGAUGUAAUCCUUGAGAUGAGUUGGUUGAUGUCUAAUUCUAGUGGAGUUUCUUCUUGUUGCCGCAGCAUCUGAAGCAAAAUCAGCAGCAUCUGAAGCAAGAUCUGUUCUUUUUGCAUCUGAAGCAAAAUCAGUAACAUCUGAAGCGUGGUAUCAAUAAAGUAGCACGGACUUCCCAAGGUGAGAUCUAGAAAGUUCAACAAAGUUCAAGAUGUAAACUCUUCCAAGAGGAUUGGAACUGCAACAUGGUGAAACAAAUUUGAAUGACACAGUAACAUCAUUUCUCCUUGCAUAUCCUGUCAGUAGAGACUCUAUGGAAUGCAUUGCAACAUCAUACCAAUGCCACCAAUUGCAGAGGCAAAACCCAAAACUACACCAAAGGUAAGCAUAAAAGCACCAAAUACAAAGGGAAGAAAUCACCCUGUGGAAAACUUGUGAUGGAUAUUAUUCAAGCAAGAGAUGCAAAUCUAUAUCAGAAGCGGCUUGCAUGUUGUGCAAGUCCAGAACUGAAACAGAAACCAGAAAAAAAAUCUGCAGUGCAUUGCCGCAUACACAUGGCGUCCAUGGCUGAAUUCCAUGAACAAAGAAGCAGAGAUACAACAAAAUCACCAAGUACAUAGGCAUUGGUGCAAGAAUCAAACCGAAAUCAACAAGCAAAUCACACGUACAUAGGCAGCGGUGUGAAUGAAACCAAUUGCAGUGACGAACAAACGAGGAUCGACGACUGCAUAAAAGCUCUACCACGGGUGACGUAGAGAGAACAAACCAGGAAACAACAAUCGGGACCAAAAUCUGAAGCAAUCGAAGCCAGAAAACUGAAGCAAUCGAAGCCAGAUUCAAUCAAUUGAAGCCAACAACUGCAAAUUAAGAGGAUGCAGAUUCCUCAUCACCAACAAACUGUACGAGUUCUGUGAAAUACGCAACAAGACCAACACAGAAAUCCGAAAUCGCGAGGCAAAAACGAUGCAAAAUCGCGAUGCAGGAAAAUAGAAAUCAGUAAAUCACGAACUAAUAAGAACCUGAAAUCGCGAACCUGAACCAACGGUUACAACAAAACCGAAUCUGAAACUGGCAGAAACGAGAUUGAAGAAGAUGAGCUUCGAUGAAGAGAAGCCGGAAUCAAACAACGUGAAUCCUAGACCAAACCACGAAUCAGAAUGCGUAACAGAGACAGUCAGAAAAGAUGCGAAAUCGCGAACAAAUCGCAAUUCAGAUGCAAGUCGUGAAUCAGACACGUGAGGCUGAGAAGAUGCGAAAUCCAUAUGCACUGAGAACAAGAUCGAAACUGAAGAAGAUCUCAAAUCACGAACCAAAAUGCAAAUCACAAAACGCUCAUGAAACCAGAAAUCAUAACCCGAAGUAGAAGCUGAUCCUGAAUCAGACACAAAAAACGCAAUCGAAGAUGAAGCACAAAACGUCAAUCAGAGACCCGUCGAAUCUGAAGCGAAAAUCGCAAGCGGUUGCUGAAACAGACACUCGAAUGAAGCAAAGCUUCGCUGAACAACGAUCCAGAAAUCACCGAAUGAUCGCCAUUGGAAGACGAUCCAGAAAAGAAGAAUGCAGAAACGAUGCAAAAUCACAGUGCGGAAAGCAUGACAGAAUCCCCACAUGGGGCUCUGAUACCAUAACAGAAAUGUAGAAACUACAUUGUGAUAUUAUUGAUACUGUGAACAAGAUACAAUGCUGCUUAAUAUAGUUGCAGCUUGGAUACAAAGUGAAUGAACCUAGACAAUCUAAUGUAUCUAAUUCCUAACUAACUUCAACAAGUAUAACAGAAGUAUAACUAACAAAACUACUACUACUAAGCUUGACUCUUACUCACUAAGCUUGAGUCAAGCGGAGGUGUUUUUAUCUCUAACAUGUGGAUAUUCCUGGAGUGGCUGUUAAGGAUGAGAUGAAGGCCAAAUAUAUGUAUCUCAUGUUAAAUGAGUCCAUGGUUAGUGGAUGUUUGAAAACUCUUUUAUAAUUAAUUUCUAAAGACCUAAUCAAUUCUGAUGAGAAGUUUCUGUGAAUGGUUCUUACAUGUCAAUACUAAUUCUGAUAAAAAAAAAAGUUAAUCCAAGUAUGAAUCAUUUGAAAACUCAGGUUAGCUAUGAGGAAAGGAAAUUCCCCUAGUCCUAUGUGUUAAAGUAAAGCUAUUACCUCCUUCAUCAGCAGUUGUAUAUGUUGUUUGCCUUGUUAAGGGAGAAAAAAAGGGAAUGAAAGAAGAGUGAAAACUUUAUGAUUUUUUAGUGAAUACAAAGAACUAAAAUAAAAUAAUAAAAAAAGUAAUGAUUGUUGAACACCAUAAAUCUGUGAUAUUCAAUCGACAUAUGUGUUUAGCGGCAGUAUUCCGCUGAACACAGAGUGUAAAUAAAACACAACACACAUUUCUCGACGGUUGAAAAUCCCCCACUAAACAUGUUUUAUGUUUUUUUCCCACUUCACGUUAUCACUAAAGUGGAUGUCAAUUGAGUGUCACGAAUUUCUGAAUGAAUCAUUUGAAAACUCAGAAUUAUUGAUGAGGAAAGGAAAUUCCCCUAGUCCUAUGUGUUAAAAUAAAGCUAUGAACUCAUUCAUCAGCAGUUGUAUAUGUUCUUUGCCUUGUUAAGAGAGAGAAAAACAAAAUGAAAAAAGAGUGAAAACUUCAUGCCUGAAAAAAAAAGUAAUGAUUGUUAACCACCAUAAAUCCGCGAUAUUCAAUCGAGACACGUGUUUAACAAUAUUUUUUUUUCACUUCACGGUAUCACUAAAGUGUAUGUCAAUUGAAUGUCACGAAUUCCUGAUUUCUACCCGCCCUAAGAAAAAUUGCUAAUAAGAGCUCAAACAACAUAACAACAAGGUGAAGUGCUAAACUGCUAAUGCACUUGGGUUGGGCCACCAUGAUCCGAAUUCCAUCCAAUGGAUGCGAACUUGUGGGAGCUUUAAACCUUGGUUAUGGUGUAUACAACAAGAAAAACACAGAAUCUUAUGACUCGGGUCUCAAAGGAAGUUACUCUUUCACUCACAAGGUAAGAAUGCAAGCAUUGCGUUUUCCUUUCUUCGGUUAUCAUCUUACUUCUCAUCUUGACUUUUCAGCUCAGUAAUUCUUCUGCAUAAUCUACAUAGAAAUUCUAGUUACACGCCCUCUUAACAUUAUUUUUUCAACACACUAUUUCUGGUUAUUUAUAAUUAAUGUGAGUUUCAUUAUAUUAUAACCGUAGACUUAUUGCUAAUUGAUAGAUCACCUCCUAAUUUUAUAUGAAUCUUAUUACUGAUAAGAAACGGUGUGGAUGAACAAAAAAUUGCUUAGCACUCUCCUGUAAUUUAUAUAUAUCCCUACGCUCGUGGACUUGUGGUAGAAAGCAAGUCCUUAUAAAUUAUAAUACAAUAACGUAUCAUCCAUCAUUUAACAAUACCACACACAACUCAAAAAAAGAUAUGCCCGUCAAAAAGCAUCAAGGAACAUGCAGGGGUCAAUAACUUGCAUUGAUUGCGGGGAAAAAAUCAGGAAGAAACAAAAUUAGCAUGGAAUGAUCACUUGAUUCAUUUAAAUGACAAAGAUGAGACCAAUUAACCAUGACAUUCAAAACUAGGAUGAACACAACUCAAAGCAAGACUUGAAAGAAAGUAAUGUAAGUCCACUUAUGAUGUUUUUGAGUAAAUAGCCUAAUUAAGUGUUUACGAUAAUAAAUGUGUAUUAAGUAAACAGUUAAUUCAUGAGCUAAUUUGAUAGGUUGAUUGAAAUAAACUCAAAAUAACUUAUAAUUAGUGUAAACACUUAUUCUAGCUACCAUGAACCGCUUAUGAAAAUAAAUAGGCUUAACACAACUUAUAGGUAGGUAUGUCAAGAAUUAUUUUCAGAACUUUCCCCAAACACUUGCGAAACAGCGAAAGCACUAAUGUUAUAAGGUUUAAUAAGCUCUUUCAAAUGUGACCUCAUUCAUUGAUUCUAUCCCCAGACUGGCCAGACAUAGGAAUCUGAUCAGGCGAGUCAUGAAGAAAACUCAGGCUUUCGCUGAGUGCAUCUCGGUUGGAUGAAGAGGGAAGGGUGGUUUGAUUGCUUCACAUUAAUAGGAAUUCAUAAAUUUUGAAGCAAACAAACUUUUUAUUGCACUCUGUAUCUUCACUCUAGUCCUCUUAUUGCUAAUACAAAAGACAUACAAACACUCAUCUCCCCGGUGUUAACUAUCACUGAGAUAAGGAGAUCCAGCACUAGAUAUGUGUUCUCAUACAAAACUCAAUAUUGUAAAGGUAAAAAUACACUAGCACAACAUAUAGAUUAACCACCUUACAUGGAGGAUCUACAGCUUGGAGGCUGCACCUUUGUCCAAGAACCAUUUCAACUCCCCUUCAGGUGAAACCAAUGCAGCAGGAAGCUUAUUAGAGUUUUGCGAUCCGCCACGCAGUACAGAGUGAACUGCAUCUGCUUUACCAGAACCAGUCACCACAAGUGCAGCAUAAGCAGAGGAAUUGAUCACCGGAAAGGUAAAAGUUAUUCUCUCUGGUGGUGGUUUUGGC